GGGGUUGUGGCUCAGUGGUAGAGCACUAGCCUCACAUGUGAGAGUCAUUGGGUUUGAUCCUCAGUACCACA
rnacentral:tRNA from 1 species